AAGGAGUCUAACAUCUAUGCGAGUGUUCGGGUGUCAAACCCCUACGCGUAAUGAAAAUGAACGGAGGUGGGAGCUUCGGCGCACCAUCGACCGAUCCUGAUGUCCUCGGAUGGAUUUGAGUAAGAGCAUAGCUGUUGGGACCCGAAAGAUGGUGAACUAUGCCUGAAUAGGGUGAAGCCAGAGGAAACUCUGGUGGAGGCUCGCAGCGGUUCUGACGUGCAAAUCGAUCGUCAAAUUUGGGUAUAGGGGCGAAAGACUAAUCGAACCAUCUAGUAGCUGGUUCUCUC
rnacentral:misc_RNA from 1 species